GGUCCACCCACUGCGCUCACCUGCCGGCGUCCGGCGGGGAAUCUACCGCCCAGCGCCUGGCUCCGGCCCCUCUUCCGUCUCUUCUGCGCCUGUGCAACCCGAACGUUCGCGAAAAUUCCUGAAGCGGCAUCGGCGGCUUCCGGAAGCCAGCCACGGCCUGACAGUAGCGCCGGCGAUUGGCGUGGUGAUUCCCUUUUAGUCCCGGUGGUGUACGUUUCACCUAGGAAACGGAAUGGCGCUUCUGUGUUACAACCGCGGCUGUGGCCAGCGUUUCGACCCCGAGGCUAACGCGGACGAUGCUUGCACAUACCACCCAGGUGUACCUGUAUUUCAUGAUGCCCUAAAGGGUUGGUCUUGCUGUAAGAGAAGAACAACUGAUUUUCUGACUUCUUAAGCAUUGUAGGUUGUACAAAAGGUAGGCAUAACAGUGAGAAGCCACCUGAACCAGUCAAGCCUGAAGUCAAGACUACAGAGAAGAAGGAACUGUCUGAAUUAAAACCCAAAUUUCAGGAGCACAUCAUUCAAGCCCCUAAACCAGUAG